rnacentral:rRNA from 1 species
AGUGAACGCUGGCGGUAGGCCUAACACAUGCAAGUCGAACGGCAGCACAGUAAGAGCUUGCUCUUACGGGAGGCGAGUGGCGGACGGGUGAGGAAUACAUCGGAAUCUACUUUUUCGUGGGGGAUAACGUAGGGAAACUUACGCUAAUACCGCAUACGACCUACGGGUGAAAGCAGGGGAUCUUCGGACCUUGCGCGAUUGAAUGAGCCGAUGUCGGAUUAGCUAGUUGGCGGGGUAAAGGCCCACCAAGGCGACGAUCCGAAGCUGGUCUGAGAGGAUGAUCAGCAACACUGGAACUGAGACACGGUCCAGACUCCUACGGGAGGCAGCAGUGGGGAAUAUUGGACAAUGGGCGCAAGCCUGAUCCAGCCAUACCGCGUGGGUGAAGGAGGCCUUCGGGUUGUAAAGCCCUUUUGUUGGGAAAGAAAAGCAGCAGGUUAAUACCCCGCUGUUCUGACGGUACCCAAAGAAUAAGCACCGGCUAACUUCGUG